rnacentral:rRNA from 2 species
AUGGGUAGCAAACAGGAUUAGAUACCCUGGUAGUCCAUACCGUAAACGAUGAAUGCUAAGUGUUGGAGGGUUUCCGCCCUUCAGUGCUGCAGCUAACGCAUUAAGCAUUCCGCCUGGGGAGUACGGCCGCAAGGCUGAAACUCAAAGGAAUUGACGGGGGCCCGCACAAGCGGUGGAGCAUGUGGUUUAAUUCGAAGCUACGCGAAGAACCUUACCAGGUCUUGACAUACUAUGCAAAUCUAAGAGAUUAGACGUUCCCUUCGGGGACAUGGAUACAGGUGGUGCAUGGUUGUCGUCAGCUCGUGUCGUGAGAUGUUGGGUUAAGUCCCGCAACGAGCGCAACCCUUAUUAUCAGUUGCCAGCAUUAAGUUGGGCACUCUGGUGAGACUGCCGGUGACAAACCGGAGGAAGGGGGGGAUGACGUCAAAUCAUCAUGCCCCUUAUGACCUGGGCUACACACGUGCUACAAUGGAUGGUACAACGAGUUGCGAACUCGCGAGAGUAAGCUAAUCUCUUAAAGCCAUUCUCAGUUCGGAUUGUAGGCUGCAACUCGCCUACAUGAAGUCGGAAUCGCUAGUAAUCGCGGAUCAGCAUGCCGCGGUGAAUACGUUCCCGGGCCUUGUACACACCGCCCGUCACACCAUGA